rnacentral:lncRNA from 1 species
ACCAAUGUUUCUAAGAAUUUCACUAACAAGAAGAUUAAUAUUCAGCUUGAUGAAAUCAAUUAUCCUCUAUGGAAACAACAGGUAUCUUUUGCUUUGGAGAGUUAUGGUUUGGAGCCUUACACUGAUGGUACUCAGGCUAUACCUCCAGAGUUUGUUUUUAAUGAGUUUGGUUAUCUAGUUAAAAAUCCUGAAAGAGUUUCAUUUAAUAAACAAGAUAAAUCCAUAGCAUCUUGGUUACUUUCUGUUGUUAGUCUUGAUUUCCUACCAGAUUUGGUCAUGUGUCAAUCGACUACUGAAAUUUGGGAAGUCAUUGGUCAGUUGUAUUCUGCUAAAACAACUACCAAGGUUAUGAAUAUUAGGUAUUCUUUGUACUCUCAAAAGAAAGGGGAUCAAAACAUUCGUGAUUAUUUGAGACAGCUUAAAUUGAUUAAGAAUAAUCUUGGUAUAUGUGGAGAAAAGAUAUUUGAUGCAGAGCAUAUUGCAACUAUUCUUAAUGGUUUACCUAGUGAGUUUGAUUCGGUGGUUACCUUAAUCACCACUAGCAGAAAAGUCUAUGAUGUACCUGUUUUGUCUUCAAUGCUGAUUAAUCUUGAAGCUAGGCAAAAGUCAGGUGCUAUGAUUGGGCUUUUUAAUGUUAAUCUUGCCACAAGUCAGUCUAGUUCUCAUAGUGCACAAGCUUAUAAGCAGUCCACAGAAGGUGUGUCUGGUUUACUUGGAUACCAAGGCAGAGGAGGUUCAUUUCGUCGAGGUAAAGGUAGAGGUCGUUUUGGAAAUGCUUCAAACAGACCUCAAUGCCAUUUGUGUGGAAAAAUUGGGCUUAUUGUACAAAAGUGAUAUUAUCGCUUUGAUACUUCUUUUAUUGGUUUUCCUAAGCUUGAUGCAGGUCAUAGAGGUGCAAGUGCUAAUCAUUGUUCAAUGGGUGAUGAUGAUGGUGACAAUAAAUAGAAUGUAGUAGGUGCUUUCAUUUCUGCUGAUCGUUCUUCUACUUUUGUAAAUGUUGCUAUUGCUGGAGAACAUGCCUGGUUUCCUGAUUCAAUGGCCACUUCCCACCUCAGUCGUGAUGCCUCCAAGGUGUCAAAUAGUGCUCCAUAUAUUGGUAUAGAUAAGUUGACUGUUGCUAAUGGCCAAUCUUUGUCCAUAUCUAGCAGUGGCUAGAGUAUAUUGCUUACAAAUAAUAGACCUCUUCAUAUGAAAAAAUUGUAUUUGUGUAAUAGGCCGUUUUCAAUAAUGUUGGAAACAAUGGUUUCGAGACCACAAUUUCAAUGAGCAAG